rnacentral:ncRNA from 1 species
AACCGGGGUGCCUUAGGCUGAGAUUAUACCCGUUGAACCUGAUUCGGUUAGUACCGACGAAGGGAGUAUAA